AAUACGUUCCCGGGCCUCGUACACACCGCCCGUCACACCACGAAAGUCAAUUGCACCAGAAGUCACUUCGGUGCCCAAGGUGCGGUCGAUGAUUGGGGUG
rnacentral:rRNA from 1 species